CUGAGGUGGUCAUCCUUCUGACAGAUUCACACAUCUCAGCAGAUGACCACUGGGUUCUUGCUUGCCGCACUGUUUAAGGCUCUUCUCGUCCCAUACUUAGUUUGGCUGGAGGGCAACCUUUAGAAGGAAUCCUGGUGGCUCCAAACUUCUUCCAUUUCACAUUUCAUGAGGUCAUUUUCAACACUCAUAGCUUUACAAAUGGUUUCAUUACUUUGACCUGAUUUAUGCUUCACAACAAUUUAUUCGCAGAGGUUUACAGACAGAUCCUUGGACGUCAUGGCUUGGUGGUUGUCUUGACAUGCAGUAUGAAGAGACGUCAAGCAUCCACUGAAGACUUUAAUCACUAAAAUCACUCUGUAGUCAAUUUUAAUAAAGUAGUCAUGCAUACCUA